AGCUCGUAGCGGGUUCUGACGUGCAAUCGAUCGUCAAAUUUGGGUAUAGGGGCGAAAGACUAAUCGAACCAUCUAGUAGCUGGUUCCCUCCGAAGUUUCCCUCAGGAUAGCUGGAGCCCGAACUAUGUGUGUAGUUUUAUCAGGUAAAGCGAAUGAUUAGAGGUAUUGGGGUUGAAAUGACCUCAACCUAUUCUCAAACUUUAAAUGGGUAAGAGGUGUAGCUUGCUUAAGUGAAGUUACACGAUUGAUUUCUCGUGGAAUACAGGGGCUCUUAGUGGGCCAUUUUUGGUAAGCAGAACUGGCGAUGCGGGAUGAACCGAACGCUGGGUUAAGGUGCCCAAGUCAACGCUCAUGAGAUCCCAUGAAAGGUGUUGGUUGAUACAGACAGCAGGACGGUGGCCAUGGAAGUCGGAAUCCGCUAAGGAGUGUGUAACAACUCACCUGCCGAAUCAACUAGCCCUGAAAAUGGAUGGCGCUCAAGCGUUGCACCUAUCCCCGGCCGCCGUGUGGAGAUGGCCAGUGCUGGUGACACGGCGUGUAGGAGGGCGCAGGGCUGUGUGUUGGUAUGCUGUGCAGGCUGGUGCGUGAGCCCGGCUGAAGCUGGCCCUGGUGCAGAUCUUGGUGGUAGUAGCAAUUAUUCAAAUGAGAACUUUGAAGGCCGAAGUGGAGAAGGGUUCCACGUGAACAGCAUUUGGACGUGGGUGAGUCGGUCCUAAGAGAUGGGCGAAAGCCUGGUUAGUAAGGGUGCAGAUGUGCUGCCUCUCAGGGGGUAGUAUGUCCGGUUGGUUCUUCGGGGCCACGGUGGCACCAGCUCUCGAAAGGGUAUCGGGUUAAUAUUCCCGAACCAGACACCUGGAUGCUGCUCGUGGUGGAGCACGGCAACGUAUAUGUGUGUAUACUCGGCGACGCUUGCGAUAGCCCUGGGAAGAGUUGUCUUUUCUUCUUAACCGUACCAACCGUGUGCACAGCCCUGGAAGCAGUUUACCUUGAGAGAGGGCUGGAGGUCGGGUAAAGCGCUGCACUUAUUGCAGCGUCCAGUGCGCUGUCGAGAGCCCCUGAAAAGCUGAGUCAGGACUGGACCAUGUUAGUCUCGUGUCUGGCCGUAC
rnacentral:rRNA from 1 species